CCUACGGGUGGCAGCAGUCGAGAAUCAUUCACAAUGGGGGCAACCCUGAUGGUGCGACGCCGCGUGGGGGAAUGAAGGUCUUCGGAUUGUAAACCCCUGUCAUGUGGGAGCAAAUUAAAAAGAUCGUGCCACAAUAGGCAGGGACGGCUAACUCUGUGCCAGCAGCCUCGUUAAUACGGAGGUCUCAAGCGUUGUUCGGAAUCACUGGGAGUAAGGCGUGCGUAGGCUGUUUCGUAAGUCGUGUGUGAAAGGCGCGGGCUCAACCCGCGGACGGCACAUGAUACUGCGAGACUAGAGUAAUGGAGGGGGAACCGGAAUUCUCGGUGUAGCAGUGAAAUGCGUAGAUAUCGAGAGGAACACUCGUGGCGAAGGCGGGUUCCUGGACAUUAACUGACGCUGAGGCACGAAGGCCAGGGGAGCGAAAGGGAUUAGAUACCCCAGUAGUC
rnacentral:rRNA from 1 species